rnacentral:rRNA from 1 species
GGAAUAUUGGUCAAUGGGUGAGAGCCUGAACCAGCCAUGCCGCGUGCAGGAAGAAGGCCUUCUGGGUUGUAAACUGCUUUUGCCAGGGGAUAAAAUACCCUUGCGAGGGUAAUUGAAGGUACCUGGUGAAUAAGCCACGGCUAACUACGUGCCAGCAGCCGCGGUAAUACGUAGGUGGCAAGCGUUGUCCGGAUUUAUUGGGUUUAAAGGGUGCGUAGGCGGCCUUUAAGUCAGUGGUGAAAUACUUCGGCUUAACCGGAGAGGUGGCAUUGAUACUGAUGGGCUUGAGUACAGAUGAGGUAGGCGGAAUUGACGGUGUAGCGGUGAAAUGCAUAGAUAUCGUCAAGAACACCGAUAGCGAAGGCAGCUUACUAGGCUGUAACUGACGCUGAUGCACGAAAGUGUGGGGAUCAAACAG